AUCCAAGACAAUAAUUCCACCAAUUACCGACCGUCCUUAGCGCAAUUGGCAAAAAUGUUUGGUGGUUGGUAUCCGAGACUCAAAUUUGAAUUCUAGUUGAUUCACAUUUUCAACUAAAUUUAUUUUUAAAUGAAAUAAAUGAAGCGGGUAGUAUGCUAUCUUUUUUUUUAAAAAAAAAAUUCCGCCAAUUCUAGUUCUAAAUAUUCCAUUUCUUGGCAAACAAAAUGAAAAAUAUAAAAAAAGCCCUUCAAGUUACCCAGAUAUUAUUUUCUUGGGGGCAAUUGCUUAUAUACCCUUGAAAAGUUUCGGACUUUCCGAUUUACCAAUCUUAGAAGGCUAAUAUUGAAAAUACCCUUCCUACGUUCCAACUUAUUUCUAAUAUACCCUUAGAGUUAAAAUCUGUUAAGUAACUCUGUUAGCUCUAUAAAAUUACUAUUUUGCCUUUUCAAAUAUAUUCUUCCACCAUCACUUUCUUUCUUAUUUGCCCUUAAAGUCAGGGGUAUAAAAAGUAUUUUAACUUUUGGUCUUUUCUAAUAUAUCCUCUACCGUCACCAACCUUUCUUAUUUGCCCUUAAGUUAAGGGUAAAAUUGGUAUUUUAAUUUUUUUUAACUCACGUUUAAUCCGGAUUAACUUAACAGAAGAUAACGUAUUUUGCAAUAACGGUGGAACAUAUGAGGAGUAUUUUAGAAAGAAAAAAAAAUUAAGGGUACAUCGGAUAUUUCCAAACGUAUGAGAGGUAUAUAGCCAAUUAUCUCUAUUUUGGUAAUACAAA
rnacentral:lncRNA from 1 species